rnacentral:snRNA from 1 species
GUGUUGCAGCACAUAUACUAAAACUGGAACAAUACGGAGAUUAGCACGGGCCCUGUGCAAGGAUGACACACAACUUCAUGAAGCAUUCCAUAUUUUU